CGCCUCCUUCUGGACGCUUGCUAUGUGACGCCACUUGGAAGGGACCCAGUAAGGGAUCUGUUGCGCCACAGGGGUCUCCAGGGCCCUCGCAGGUUGGGGUGGUCUGAGCUAGUCUGAAGGAGGACAGUCAGCUGACUUCUCCUUUAUCUCUCUUUCCCAGGAUAGCAGGUUCCCUUGGUGUAUUACAGUUUCUGAAGUGUUGAUUCCCUUUUCAAUUGAUUCCACAGAUGACAGUCCUGACGUUUAAAAAAUUGCCAGAUAACCUUUAAUUUUUUUUUUUUUAACAGAACACAAACUUAAGCCAGAUUGCCUAGGAUUGAACCUUGGCCUCUCACUUCCUAGACGAGUGGCCUUGGCUAGUUAACCACCUUCGUGAGCCUCAGUUUUGUCAUCUGUAAAAUGGGAGUCAUAAGUGUCUACCUCACAGAGCUGUGAUUGAAAGGAUAAAUAGCACCUUGCACAUAGCGGUGUAGAAGUGCUUGUUAUUGUUAAUAUUUUAUUUACCUUCACGCAGGUAACAGCCACAACAUCUGCCCACUCUUCCCCACACCUUACUGUCCCUUGAAAUGUUUCCCAUUUUACUAUAGUAUGCAUUUUUUGGCUUCUUCCCUUUAGGGAAAUGAGUAUGUGAUAGUAAAGCGUGUCUUGGUUUAUGUCCUAGGAGUCAGAAGCUAAGAGACUCCUUUUUGUGCUUGUACAUUUGUCUUAACUGAAAAUAACCCAAGGAUAAGGAAACAAAUAGCUUCCUGAAAUUACUCGGAUUGCGGGGGUGAGGGGUGAGGGCUGGGGGGUGGUGAUUCUGUCUUCAUAGGAUGGCAGCAAAGGCCAAAGUCUUAUUUGAGUUAUUACCAUUAUUAUUCACCACACUUGCCAUCUUAUUUCAAGCCUACAGUGGCGGAAGUGGAGUAAGACAUCAUGUUGCCUCAAGUUUAAUUGGAAAUCGCGUGCCUUGUGAAGAAUGGACACUCAGUAGAUGCUUAUUGAUGAACCUGUUGGUUGAGGAUAACUCGCUAACUUUUCUGAGCUUUGUUGGAAAAACUGUGGUCACUGUAUCUCUAUGCAUUACAGAAAAUGGCUAGUUAAAAACUUGUCAAGAGAUGGGGUUUUACUAUGUUGGAGAAGCUGGUCUCAAACUCCUGGGCUCAAGUCAUCCUCCCGCCUCAGCCUCCCAAAGUGCUGAGAUUACAGACGUGUGCCUGGCCUAUUUUACUCGUUUUAAUAGAUGUUGAGGGCUCAUGACACUCCUGGUGGCCAUAUACGCAGAGGUCAGGGAGAGAAAGGGACCUGUGGGCCAGCACCCUUAUUGGGUCCAGAGAGCUAUCCAAACAAGUUUCCAGCAGGGAAUUUAAUUGGUGGAUUUAAAGCAAGCAGGCAUGAGUUCCAGGGGGCCACACUGACUGAGGUAUGUAUGUAUGUACCAUAGUUUAACUAUUUGCUCAAUGAAAGACAUAUAUUAAUAGUUUCCAGUUUUUGCUGUUAUGAAUAAAGCUACUAUAAACAUUCAUGUACAGGUUUUUGUAUUAAUGCAAGUCUUCAUUUCUUUGGAAGAGAUGACUGAAGUUCAAUUACUGGGUUACAUGGUAGUUGCAUAUUUCUUUUUUGCACACUGACAGAGAGGUAGUCACUAUGGCAUGUCUGAAUAGUUCGUUCCGUGUGUGAGUAUCAGCAGGGCCAGUCAAGCAGCCUGCAUCUAGCCACCACCUAGUGAAGUAGUCACCAGAGAGCAGUUGUAUAAGGCAGAUAUCUGGAUCCACCACAUUGAGGAACUGGGGGAAGGGAGCACCAAACCGAAAACUGUGUCCAAGGUGACGGAGUCCUGCCUCUGGUGUGAGAAAGCCCAGCUUAUAUUUAAAGUGGAUGCCAAAGCAAUAUAAAAUUAUAGGAAUUCAUUACCAAACUGAUAGCUUGUGGUUUUAAUUUGCAUUUCCCCAAUGAAUAAUGAUGUUGAGCAUCAUUUCAUGUGUUUAUUUGGCAUCUGUGUUACUGUGUGCAUGAAAUAUGUCUUCAUGUCUUUUGUCCAUGUUCUAAUUGGAUUUUCUCAUACUGUUGAGUUUUGAAAAUUUUUUAUAUAUUCCAUAUACUAGUCCUUUGUUGGAUAUGUGGUUUUCAAGUAUUUUCUCCCAGUCCGUAGCUUACCUUUUUGCCCUCUUAACAGAGUCUUUCACAAAAUGUGUUUUUUUUUUCUUUUUUUUUGAAACAGAGUCUCAGUCUGUCACCCAAGCUGGAGUGCAGUGGUGUGAUCUUGGCUCACUGCAACCUCCACUUCCCGGGUUCAAGUAAUUCUCCUGCUUCAGCCUUCCGAGUAGCUGGGAUUACAGGCUCCCACCACCACAACUGGCUAAUUUUUGUAUUUUUAGAAGAGAC
rnacentral:lncRNA from 10 species